AAGUGAUUCAAUUUCAUAUAUAUAUAUAUAUAUAUGUGUGUGUGUGUGUGUGUGUGUGUGUGUAUACAUAUAUACAUACAUAUACACUCAAAAUAUUGAGUAUA
rnacentral:miRNA from 1 species